CCUACGGGAGGCAGCAGUGGGGAAUUUUGGACAAUGGACGCAAGUCUGAUCCAGCCAUGCCGCGUGUGGGAAGAAGGCCUUCGGGUUGUAAACCACUUUUGUCAGGGAAGAAACGGCUCGGGUUAAUACCUUGGGCUAAUGACGGUACCUGAAGAAUAAGCACCGGCUAACUACGUGCCAGCAGCCGCGGUAAUACGUAGGGUGCAAGCGUUAAUCGGAAUUACUGGGCGUAAAGCGUGCGCAGGCGGUUAUGCAAGACAGAUGUGAAAUCCCCGGGCUCAACCUGGGAACUGCAUUUGUGACUGCAUGGCUAGAGUACGGUAGAGGGGGAUGGAAUUCCGCGUGUAGCAGUGAAAUGCGUAGAUAUGCGGAGGAACACCGAUGGCGAAGGCAAUCCCCUGGACCUGUACUGACGCUCAUGCACGAAAGCGUGGGGAGCAAACAGGAUUAGAUACCCUGGUAGUCCACGCCCUAAACGAUGUCAACUGGUUGUUGGGAGGGUUUCUCUCAGUAACGUAGCUAACGCGUGAAGUUNACCGCCUGGGGNGGNGCGCGAGUGAGACAGAGUAG
rnacentral:rRNA from 1 species